rnacentral:lncRNA from 1 species
UAGAUUUAAAUGUGUUAUAUAUAAAAGUUUUAGGGAAGUCGGUUUAAGUCCUUAAUAAUUAUGAAGCAUCUGCUAUAUUCAAGUGCAGAAACUAAGCUCUCUGAAGUGAAGAAAGAAAAUUAAGCAAUUAGCUCUGUAUCUAAGAAAAUAUCAGAGCAAAGGGGCAUUUGUCCUGUAGUAAGUGAAUAAAAUCUAAAGAGAAAUCUGGUAACUUCCAGAAGAGAAAGAUAAAGGAAACACCAGGAAGUUUUAAUAGAGGACAAAGAAGACAGGAAUCCAUCCAUCUAAGAAGACAGAUGAGGACAGAAAGGCCAGUGGCAGACAGCCUUGUGCAUAAACAUCAACCUCAUUGUGGAAGGGUGCAGAAGAGAGCCUGACAUUAAGCAUCUAGUCAGCAACAUUGUGUCCUAUAGGCCAGUUCUACCCACUCUGACUCAGCCUGAAAUGGUCCACCUUUAGGAUUAUCACCAAGCCUCCUUGAGGUUUGCAUCUAUUCUGAAGUUAAAGCACUUGCCAGUGAAUAAGCCAUUUAUUCCAUAUACUUAAAAGAUUGAAUUAUUGUGUUUUAGGGGGAAAAAGUGUAUGAUCAGAUGAGAAAUGUAAUUGUUUUCUAAAAUCAAUCCUAACAAAGACUAGCAUUUUGCAGGCAAUUCAAAAAUUGCUUUAAUAAGCGUCCUUGCCUCCUAUGCAAAGUUUUUCUUUUAUCUGAUGCAGGGAUGUUACCUAGACCAUCAGGGAGAUGUAUUUUGGCUGUGGACAUUCAUGCCUGACAGCCUGGCAGGCAGCAGUCGUCCUGUGUCUCCACCCUUAACCAUUCUGAAUUGUUCUUUCCUAGUCCUGGGUUCUUAGAAUAUGAGUGCUUCUCCUCGAACUUCCAAAAGUACAGUGGCUGAAGGGAAAGAGAAAUAGAAAGGGAAGGGGAGUCAUGGUUUUGGAGGGCAUGAUGCCAAAAGGGAAAAUUUAAACUUUAACUUAUUGACCAUAUUCAAGGCGAGUAAUAACCUUUUCUUAGAAACUUUUAAAGACCAUGACUUAGGGCUAUGGCAAAGUCAUGAUUUUAUUCCUGGCCCCGUGGUUCUUGUACUUUCAAAAGCCCUCAAUAAAAAGCCAUUGAAUAGGACAUGUAUUCCAUACACUUAAAAACUUGAAUGAUUGGGUGUGGGAGGAAAGUGUGCAUUAUCCAAUGCAGAUGUAAUUGCUUUCUA